rnacentral:rRNA from 1 species
UACGUAGGUGGCAAGCGUUGUCCGGAUUUACUGGGCGUAAAGGGCUCGUAGGCGGUUUGUCGCGUCGGGAGUGAAAACUCAGGGCUUAACCCUGAGCCUGCUUCCGAUACGGGCAGACUAGAGGUAUGCAGGGGAGAAUGGAAUUCCUGGUGUAGCGGUGAAAUGCGCAGAUAUCAGGAGGAACACCGGUGGCGAAGGCGGUUCUCUGGGCAUUACCUGACGCUGAGGAGCGAAAGUGUGGGGAGCGAACAGG